rnacentral:rRNA from 1 species
CCCACCCGGCCGCGACGAGGACCAGGGCAAGCAACCACCGUGACCGACAACGCGCAGAGUAACGGUAACCCUAAGUGGUUAGGGUAGGCGCGGGUAGGAGGCUUUGCAAGUUCCCAAGCGGUUGGGAAGCAGUUCGGACGCCGGGGAGGCGGAGCAGAGGAGGAACGAAGGAGAGGGUACAGUAACGGGAGCUCGGGCGCGGGGGAGGUGGAGCAGAGGAGAGGUUGCGGCGGUGGGAACUACGCGGCAGUCCCUGCGGCAGCUGUGCAGCCCCUAUGCAUCGCUACCUCGAGUCGGGUUCGGGUGGUCUUCGGGUGAGGAUUGGGAUAAGCGAGCUAAUUGUUCUGGUCCGUUGCCUAACCUAGCUCCCGCGGGCGUACCGGAGCAGCGGCGACGGCGGACCUAAACGAUCGGCGGCGCACCUCAGUGGGACCGGCGGCGGAACUCAGUGGAGACAGCGACGGAGGAGCUCAGUGGAGGUAGCGACGGCGGAGCUCAGUGGAGGCAGCAGCGGUGUUCAUUCGAGGUGGCAACGGCGGUCCUUAGAGCAGGUCCGUUCCUUACUUACAAGAUGCCAUCCUCGUCUCCCCCAACCCGUCGUCAACUCGAAUCUAAGUUCUAAAAGAAUGUGUACCCCGAAUAAGAGGAUUACAAAGAUCCAACGAAACCUCCGACUAUAGUCCACCGAUGAGUACAGACCGAACCACGAAUAUAAAAUCUACAAGGUAAUUAGAACCGACGAAAAGAGUAGGCAAAACCCGAAAUUGGAACCUAGAUCUUCCAACGUCGAAGAAACAAGAGGAUGAGUUCUAAAAGAGUAACAAGUCAAGUUCGGUACAAGGAGACCACAAUAUAUUAAGCGGUACUCGACGGACUCCACUCCUUGCCCGUGAGGGUUGCGGCAGGAGGUUAGUCAGGAAGUGCCGUUUCUUUCGGUCGAGAGCCUAAAGUCAUUCCUUCCGCGCCGGUGGUACGGUACAGGUACCGUGGUGGCUGGGAAAUGGACGGAGGAGAAACUUCACGUCGUGGUAGCAUGGGGGAAACCGGGAAGGGUAUGUCAAAACGGAGUGGUAUCCUCCUUCUGUCCUCGACAGACGGACGGACGAUGGGGUUUUCCUACGCGGUGGGUCAGUCGGCUCACUACCAUCUAGGGUCACCUUUACGGAGACCGAGUGACCAAAACCAAGUCAAACUUCCCGAGAGCCCCGUUUUCUAUUAACUCAACAACUUAGACUUACCCGCGGCGCUCCUCACCUCCUAGCUCCAACACCCAACGGUCGAAGUUUAAAACCAACUCGUGAAGGAGUUCUUAGAACAACUCCACAGACAAAGGAGAGAAACACAGUACUUUCUAACACAACCGACAUCCCAGAAGCGUUCCUCAACUUCCGACUCCAGUACCAACGGUCGAAGUUAAAAAACGACUGGUUAAGGAGUUCUCAGAACGGUUCUAGACUCCUACUUCCCUUCUUCUUCUUAAAUUGAUUUCUCAACUUCUUCUACUUCGUUACAUGCCCGGUCUCUGUUAGCCGCUAUUUUUGCUAGACGAACGUUCAAGAUAUAAUGGUCGCCUCCGAAACGGUUCUCCUUCCCAUUAAGCACGUCCCAUUAUUUGGGAUGUACCAUUAGUUCCCCUUGUAGAAAUAUUCAACACGAAAAACAUUCGAUGCUACACAAAAAGUAGAGCAACAAGAAAUCUAUAGAAGGAAAAUGUAAAAAACAUACACUACCAAUCAACUAGUCCGACUCACGAAGAAACGUCACGAACGAAACAACCUUGUACAAGUAAACCGAUUAUUUUGUAAUGUGUAGAGAGAACUUAAUACACGUAGAGGAAAAAUCAAUAAACUAAAAAAAUCACUGAGCGAUUAACCUUUUAGUCCUAAGAUUUUGAACCGUAUUACUUAAGAACUUAAUGCAUGAAGAAUAACACGUACAGUUUGACUCCUGAUUUAUAUAAAAAUCAACUCGAUAACAAAACUCAUAAAGAGACGUUGUUGAAUUUAAUGAAAAACGUUUAUUUUACUCGAUCGUAUACGAUAUGAACGUUACCAUUUAAUUAAUACGUCAAAACUCCUAACUCCUUUAAUUACCAGUCAGCCAGUAACUCCCAAACUUUCUCGGUAGUUCCGUUGCUAGAGUAAAGUAGAGUACAUAACUAAAACAAUAGAAGAAAUAUACCGUAAAAUAAUUAAUAAAUAUAUAUAAACGGCAUGACGAAAAGAUUUUUAACUACAUAGGAAACAGAGGUAAAGGCAUAGCGGCAUAGACACAACGGUCACGUGGUAUUGUUAAUGAAUAACUUCCUUUUACAGGGAGAAGAACAAGGGUAACGAGCUAUUCGUACUAGCGUAAAGAUGGCUAACUAAUAUUUAUACCGGAAAGAAAACUAAUAAACCACCAUGAAGACUAACCGUGAUACUCCACGAAGAAACAGCACAUCUAAGUAGGAAAUGAAUUUAUGACUACUACUAUACCAACAUUUAAUCAGACCAUAUACGGUUAUCAACAGAGAGGGUCUUCUUUAAAACACUCUUAUCACAUGGAUUUCUCAACCAACAAACAGACCUAACUUGUGGGUUGAUAUUCUUACCCAACUGUUGUGGCUAACUGAGAUAACCGCGAAGAUACAACAGAUCGAAGUAGUAAAUGAAUAUGUGACUACUAUAACAACAGUCGCACAACAUUCAUGAAGCCCUUUGUUCGGACCAUAUAAUGUUACUACAUCAGGACGUCUAGUCAUAUCCAGUGGCCGAAAUAUAACACCAGUCGCACAACAUUCAUGAAACCCUUUGUUCAAGACCCCAUUCAAAUAGACGAACGAGUACGUAAAAUUAUGAACUAACUACAGGACUAUUAAACACUUCAAGACACAUGGUACACUAUUCGACGUGUAGUCCAACGUACCGUCGAACAAACAACGAAAAUCCUACACGUACAUGGGUCCACCUAGUUUAUGUCUAUGGUUAGUAUAUAAUAAUAAAAAUGUGCACACAAAAAGAACACGGACGGUUUGUAAAGUUUUUAACUAAUAUAGUAAGUCUACAUAACUCCGACCCAAAGACACUAGGUUUUUUUUAGUAGACGGUACCGAAAGAAAAAUGUAUGUUUUGAUUCACACCUCGUCACAUAUACAAGUAACGAAAGAAUAGUGUAGCGUAAACAGCCUCCACAACAUGACUAAACUUCCUUUACGAAAAUAUAGAGGUUCAACUAGUUGAUGUGUUGAAGACUAGGAUUUCGGAAAGAAAUUUUCCCCGACCAGUUACGUCGAGGUACAACGCGAUAGAACGAUAACCCGAGAAGAAAGCAAUGAAUUUUACCAAUCUAUAGAGACUACAAUUUAAGCACCAACUAACGAAUAUAGGUUUUAUUGAUACAAUCAUGUGACUUCGGUUAAAGAUGUAACAAUCACUUCAACCGAUUUAUCAAAAACGCGGUGAUUCUAUAUAUACACGUGACGUAAUAUUGGGACAUUUAACAACACGAUAAUCAAAUUAGGUCUUAUAUUAAUACAAUCAUGUGAGACGUUAUAUUAAUACAAUAUAAGACGAAAACAUUCAAACGACCAGGUAUAAUUAAAGGAGCUCGAAUCAGAUUCCUCCGCCAUACAAGUUGUUAAUCCACAUCGCCUCUACGCAUACAACUCUACCUACACACCGGUGUGCUCCUUCCUAGCUCAGGCCUUACUACUAUAUGCUCUAUCUCAACCCCAUCGUGGUUAACUCCUCUUCGAACAGGUUGUAGCAGACUCUACCAAACCCGUAUAAGUCGCUUCCGGAGGUCUUCGAGGUCACGUAUCGCCUGCCGAUUUCGCACGCCUCUUACAGUUCUCUCCCGCCCCAGUUGGCUUAAACUGUACCCUCCUCAGGCAAUUCUCUCUGGACUUUCUAACCUCAUAGCUGUUUCUCGAUCGAUACCUGUCCCCACGCACCUUCGAACGAUAGGUAUACGGUCUCGGUACUCAACCAACGCUCUAGAAUACCCAAAGUGGAGAUCGGAUGGGGUUGAACAAACCCUGAUUUCCGAAACAACAACAACAACAACAACAAUAAAAGUGUAGAGCAGUAUAAAUGUGGAGAGGCGGCUGACGGUGGACAAUACCUUCCUCUACCGAACCGGUACGGCAGUUGUGGGUAGCCGUUGAAAGCCGUCCGCGGCAGGGCAAGAAGGAGGGGAAUGAGAUUACGGAAGCACCGGUUUUAGUAAUCGUCCUCGUUCUUCCAAUUCGUGGUUAAUACCAAUUUCGAAACAGAGAAAACACAUGAUACGUACUAACUAGACUAAAACGACCAGUCGAAUGUUUAAGUUCAUUAUGUUGAUAACGUUACGUAGAAUGAUGCACACAUAGAUAAACGUAACUAUAAAAGAGGAGGAAUCCGAGGUUUAGCAAACACCCAGUAUUUAAUAAUACGUAAUAACUACAAUUAAACGUUAAAUUUACUGUUAUCCCUACCCAAAAUAUUCACGUUACCGAACUUUACACUGGAAGCUCAGUUCUUUAAAGGAAUCACCCUUCGAAUACACUUCUUACUACAUUAAUUCAAUCGUUAAAUGUCAAGAGAAACUAUUAACAUUGACUUAACAGUU